UUCCCAGACUCCUACGGGAGGCAGCAGUGGGGAAUAUUGCACAAUGGGGGAAACCCUGAUGCAGCGACGCCGCGUGAGCGAUGAAGUAUUUCGGUAUGUAAAGCUCUAUCAGCAGGGAAGAAGAUGACGGUACCUGAGGAAUAAGCCACGGCUAACUACGUGCCAGCAGCCGCGGUAAUACGUAGGUGGCAAGCGUUAUCCGGAUUUACUGGGUGUAAAGGGCGUGUAGGCGGGACUGCAAGUCAGAUGUGAAAACCACGGGCUCAACCUGUGGCCUGCAUUUGAAACUGUGUUUCUUGAGUACUGGAGAGGCAGACGGAAUUCCUAGUGUAGCGGUGAAAUGCGUAGAUAUUAGGAGGAACACCAGUGGCGAAGGCGGUCUGCUGGACAGCAACUGACGCUGAGGCGCGAAAGCGUGGGGAGCAAACAGGAUUAGAUACCCGGGUAU
rnacentral:rRNA from 1 species